GGGUUGUGAGGUUAAGCGACUAAGUGUACACGGUGGAUGCCCUGGCAGUCAGAGGCGAUGAAGGACGUGCUAAUCUGCGAUAAGCGUCGGUAAGGUGAUAUGAACCGUUAUAACCGGCGAUUUCCGAAUGGGGAAACCCAGUGUGUUUCGACACACUAUCAUUAACUGAAUCCAUAGGUUAAUGAGGCGAACCGGGGGAACUGAAACAUCUAAGUACCCCGAGGAAAAGAAAUCAACCGAGAUUCCCCCAGUAGCGGCGAGCGAACGGGGAGGAGCCCAGAGCCUGAAUCAGUGUGUGUGUUAGUGGAAGCGUCUGGAAAGGCGCGCGAUACAGGGUGACAGCCCCGUACACAAAAAUACACAUAUUGUGAGCUCGAUGAGUAGGGCGGGACACGUGGUAUCCUGUCUGAAUAUGGGGGGACCAUCCUCCAAGGCUAAAUACUCCUGACUGACCGAUAGUGAACCAGUACCGUGAGGGAAAGGCGAAAAGAACCCCGGCGAGGGGAGUGAAAAAGAACCUGAAACCGUGUACGUACAAGCAGUGGGAGCACGCUUAGGCGUGUGACUGCGUACCUUUUGUAUAAUGGGUCAGCGACUUAUAUUCUGUAGCAAGGUUAACCGAAUAGGGGAGCCGAAGGGAAACCGAGUCUUAACUGGGCGUUAAGUUGCAGGGUAUAGACCCGAAACCCGGUGAUCUAGCCAUGGGCAGGUUGAAGGUUGGGUAACACUAACUGGAGGACCGAACCGACUAAUGUUGAAAAAUUAGCGGAUGACUUGUGGCUGGGGGUGAAAGGCCAAUCAAACCGGGAGAUAGCUGGUUCUCCCCGAAAGCUAUUUAGGUAGCGCCUCGUGAAUUCAUCUCCGGGGGUAGAGCACUGUUUCGGCAAGGGGGUCAUCCCGACUUACCAACCCGAUGCAAACUGCGAAUACCGGAGAAUGUUAUCACGGGAGACACACGGCGGGUGCUAACGUCCGUCGUGAAGAGGGAAACAACCCAGACCGCCAGCUAAGGUCCCAAAGUCAUGGUUAAGUGGGAAACGAUGUGGGAAGGCCCAGACAGCCAGGAUGUUGGCUUAGAAGCAGCCAUCAUUUAAAGAAAGCGUAAUAGCUCACUGGUCGAGUCGGCCUGCGCGGAAGAUGUAACGGGGCUAAACCAUGCACCGAAGCUGCGGCAGCGACGCUUAUGCGUUGUUGGGUAGGGGAGCGUUCUGUAAGCCUGCGAAGGUGUGCUGUGAGGCAUGCUGGAGGUAUCAGAAGUGCGAAUGCUGACAUAAGUAACGAUAAAGCGGGUGAAAAGCCCGCUCGCCGGAAGACCAAGGGUUCCUGUCCAACGUUAAUCGGGGCAGGGUGAGUCGACCCCUAAGACGAGGCCGAAAGGCGUAGUCGAUGGGAAACAGGUUAAUAUUCCUGUACUUGGUGUUACUGCGAAGGGGGGACGGAGAAGGCUAUGUUGGCCGGGCGACGGUUGUCCCGGUUUAAGCGUGUAGGCUGGUUUUCCAGGCAAAUCCGGAAAAUCAAGGCUGAGGCGUGAUGACGAGGCACUACGGUGCUGAAGCAACAAAUGCCCUGCUUCCAGGAAAAGCCUCUAAGCAUCAGGUAACAUCAAAUCGUACCCCAAACCGACACAGGUGGUCAGGUAGAGAAUACCAAGGCGCUUGAGAGAACUCGGGUGAAGGAACUAGGCAAAAUGGUGCCGUAACUUCGGGAGAAGGCACGCUGAUAUGUAGGUGAAGUCCCUUGCGGAUGGAGCUGAAAUCAGUCGAAGAUACCAGCUGGCUGCAACUGUUUAUUAAAAACACAGCACUGUGCAAACACGAAAGUGGACGUAUACGGUGUGACGCCUGCCCGGUGCCGGAAGGUUAAUUGAUGGGGUCAGCGCAAGCGAAGCUCUUGAUCGAAGCCCCGGUAAACGGCGGCCGUAACUAUAACGGUCCUAAGGUAGCGAAAUUCCUUGUCGGGUAAGUUCCGACCUGCACGAAUGGCGUAAUGAUGGCCAGGCUGUCUCCACCCGAGACUCAGUGAAAUUGAACUCGCUGUGAAGAUGCAGUGUACCCGCGGCAAGACGGAAAGACCCCGUGAACCUUUACUAUAGCUUGACACUGAACAUUGAGCCUUGAUGUGUAGGAUAGGUGGGAGGCUUUGAAGUGUGGACGCCAGUCUGCAUGGAGCCGGCCUUGAAAUACCACCCUUUAAUGUUUGAUGUUCUAACGUGGACCCGUGAUCCGGGUUGCGGACAGUGUCUGGUGGGUAGUUUGACUGGGGCGGUCUCCUCCUAAAGAGUAACGGAGGAGCACGAAGGUUGGCUAAUCCUGGUCGGACAUCAGGAGGUUAGUGCAAUGGCAUAAGCCAGCUUGACUGCGAGCGUGACGGCGCGAGCAGGUGCGAAAGCAGGUCAUAGUGAUCCGGUGGUUCUGAAUGGAAGGGCCAUCGCUCAACGGAUAAAAGGUACUCCGGGGAUAACAGGCUGAUACCGCCCAAGAGUUCAUAUCGACGGCGGUGUUUGGCACCUCGAUGUCGGCUCAUCACAUCCUGGGGCUGAAGUAGGUCCCAAGGGUAUGGCUGUUCGCCAUUUAAAGUGGUACGCGAGCUGGGUUUAGAACGUCGUGAGACAGUUCGGUCCCUAUCUGCCGUGGGCGCUGGAGAACUGAGGGGGGCUGCUCCUAGUACGAGAGGACCGGAGUGGACGCAUCACUGGUGUUCGGGUUGUCAUGCCAAUGGCACUGCCCGGUAGCUAAAUGCGGAAGAGAUAAGUGCUGAAAGCAUCUAAGCACGAAACUUGCCCCGAGAUGAGUUCUCCCUGACCCUUUAAGGGUCCUGAAGGAACGUUGAAGACGACGACGUUGAUAGGCCGGGUGUGUAAGCGCAGCGAUGCGUUGAGCUAACCGGUACUAAUGAACCGUGAGGCUUAACCUUACAACGCCGAAGGUGUUU
rnacentral:rRNA from 1 species